rnacentral:rRNA from 1 species
UAGGGAAUCUUCCACAAUGGACGCAAGUCUGAUGGAGCAACGCCGCGUGAGUGAAGAAGGUCUUCGGAUCGUAAAACUCUGUUGUUAGAGAAGAACACGAGUGAGAGUAACUGUUCAUUCGAUGACGGUAUCUAACCAGCAAGUCACGGCCAACUACGUGCUAG